rnacentral:misc_RNA from 1 species
CACUCACUUUCCAAGAUGCAGCAUGUCCGGAGAACUGGGAUUUCAUUGAAGACGAGGUGGUUGUUGUCAAAUGCUGCAAAAUCAUGCAACAAGUUGGAUUCUUUCUUGGAAUAUGUGCCUUCGAGAAGCUUAUCUGAUGUGGGUAUCGGUCAUUUCUCGUCAAUGGCUGCUGAAAGUGCUGCUUUCAAUGUUUCUGCUAAAAGGGAACUGGUAAAAUCAGGUUGUGCAAGGAGAUCAGUAUAUGCUGCUUAUCCUGCUGAGAAGGUUAUCGAUGAACCUGCUGGAAUUCUUGUUCUAUACAGAAAUAGAAGGAGCACACAAUGCUUAAUGACCUUCAGAUCACCGUUUCAGCUUGUCAAUACCACUGGCGUAAAUCCUCAAUCGUCUUGCUUUGCUAGAUUAUUUGCAUCAAAGGCUUCUGGAUCGAGGCAAAAGCAAUCAGAGGCUCGAAAGGAUGUUUCUACUGUUGAGGAUCCUUUUGAUGCUCCUACCUACAAUAUCCCAGAGAAGCCUGUAACGUUUACUGAGGGAGCUUCCUAUAGUCUUAUCAUUCUUGCUGGACUUGCAGUUGCCGGUGCUGCCGCAUAUGGAGUUUUUAAGGAACUCAUUUUUCAGCCAAAAGAGUACAAAAUUUUCAACAAAGGUCUCGAGAGGGUUCAAAAUGAUGGUCAAGUCAAG